rnacentral:rRNA from 1 species
GGGUUGUGAGGUUAAGCGACUAAGCGUACACGGUGGAUGCCCUGGCAGUCAGAGGCGAUGAAGGACGUGCUAAUCUGCGAUAAGCGUCGGUAAGGUGAUAUGAACCGUUAUAACCGGCGAUUUCCGAAUGGGGAAACCCAGUGUGUUUCGACACACUAUCAUUAACUGAAUCCAUAGGUUAAUGAGGCGAACCGGGGGAACUGAAACAUCUAAGUACCCCGAGGAAAAGAAAUCAACCGAGAUUCCCCCAGUAGCGGCGAGCGAACGGGGAGCAGCCCAGAGCCUGAAUCAGUGUGUGUGUUAGUGGAAGCGUCUGGAAAGGCGCGCGAUACAGGGUGACAGCCCCGUACACAAAAAUGCACAUAUUGUGAGCUCGAUGAGUAGGGCGGGACACGUGGUAUCCUGUCUGAAUAUGGGGGGACCAUCCUCCAAGGCUAAAUACUCCUGACUGACCGAUAGUGAACCAGUACCGUGAGGGAAAGGCGAAAAGAACCCCGGCGAGGGAGUGAAAAGAACCUGAAACCGUGUACGUACAAGCAGUGGGAGCACGCUUAGGCGUGUGACUGCGUACCUUUGUAUAAUGGGUCAGCGACUUAUAUUCUGUAGCAAGGUUAACCGAAUAGGGGAGCCGAAGGGAAACCGAGUCUUAACUGGGCGUUAAGUUGCAGGGUAUAGACCCGAAACCCGGUGAUCUAGCCAUGGGCAGGUUGAAGGUUGGGUAACACUAACUGGAGGACCGAACCGACUAAUGUUGAAAAAUUAGCGGAUGACUUGUGGCUGGGGGUGAAAGGCCAAUCAAACCGGGAGAUAGCUGGUUCUCCCCGAAAGCUAUUUAGGUAGCGCCUCGUGAAUUCAUCUCCGGGGGUAGAGCACUGUUUCGGCAAGGGGGUCAUCCCGACUUACCAACCCGAUGCAAACUGCGAAUACCGGAGAAUGUUAUCACGGGAGACACACGGCGGGUGCUAACGUCCGUCGUGAAGAGGGAAACAACCCAGACCGCCAGCUAAGGUCCCAAAGUCAUGGUUAAGUGGGAAACGAUGUGGGAAGGCCCAGACAGCCAGGAUGUUGGCUUAGAAGCAGCCAUCAUUUAAAGAAAGCGUAAUAGCUCACUGGUCGAGUCGGCCUGCGCGGAAGAUGUAACGGGGCUAAACCAUGCACCGAAGCUGCGGCAGCGACGCUGAUGCGUUGUUGGGUAGGGGAGCGUUCUGUAAGCCUGUGAAGGUGCGCUGUGAGGCAUGCUGGAGGUAUCAGAAGUGCGAAUGCUGACAUAAGUAACGAUAAAGCGGGUGAAAAGCCCGCUCGCCGGAAGACCAAGGGUUCCUGUCCAACGUUAAUCGGGGCAGGGUGAGUCGACCCUAAGGCGAGGCCGAAAGGCGUAGUCGAUGGGAAACAGGUUAAUAUUCCUGUACUUGGUGUUACUGCGAAGGGGGGACGGAGAAGGCUAUGUUGGCCGGGCGACGGUUGUCCCGGUUUAAGCGUGUAGGCUGGUUUUCCAGGCAAAUCCGGAAAAUCAAGGCUGAGGCGUGAUGACGAGGUACUACGGUGCUGAAGCAACAAAUGCCCUGCUUCCAGGAAAAGCCUCUAAGCAUCAGGUAACAUCAAAUCGUACCCCAAACCGACACAGGUGGUCAGGUAGAGAAUACCAAGGCGCUUGAGAGAACUCGGGUGAAGGAACUAGGCAAAAUGGUGCCGUAACUUCGGGAGAAGGCACGCUGAUAUGUAGGUGAAGUCCCUCGCGGAUGGAGCUGAAAUCAGUCGAAGAUACCAGCUGGCUGCAACUGUUUAUUAAAAACACAGCACUGUGCAAACACGAAAGUGGACGUAUACGGUGUGACGCCUGCCCGGUGCCGGAAGGUUAAUUGAUGGGGUCAGCGCAAGCGAAGCUCUUGAUCGAAGCCCCGGUAAACGGCGGCCGUAACUAUAACGGUCCUAAGGUAGCGAAAUUCCUUGUCGGGUAAGUUCCGACCUGCACGAAUGGCGUAAUGAUGGCGGGCUGUCUCCACCCGAGACUCAGUGAAAUUGAACUCGCUGUGAAGAUGCAGUGUACCCGCGGCAAGACGGAAAGACCCCGUGAACCUUUACUAUAGCUUGACACUGAACAUUGAGCCUUGAUGUGUAGGAUAGGUGGGAGGCUUUGAAGUGUGGACGCCAGUCUGCAUGGAGCCGACCUUGAAAUACCACCCUUUAAUGUUUGAUGUUCUAACGUUGACCCGUAAUCCGGGUUGCGGACAGUGUCUGGUGGGUAGUUUGACUGGGGCGGUCUCCUCCUAAAGAGUAACGGAGGAGCACGAAGGUUGGCUAAUCUGGUCGGACAUCAGGAGGUUAGUGCAAUGGCAUAAGCCAGCUUGACUGCGAGCGUGACGGCGCGAGCAGGUGCGAAAGCAGGUCAUAGUGAUCCGGUGGUUCUGAAUGGAAGGGCCAUCGCUCAACGGAUAAAAGGUACUCCGGGGAUAACAGGCUGAUACCGCCCAAGAGUUCAUAUCGACGGCGGUGUUUGGCACCUCGAUGUCGGCUCAUCACAUCCGGGCUGAAGUAGGUCCCAAGGGUAUGGCUGUUCGCCAUUUAAAGUGGUACGCGAGCUGGGUUUAGAACGUCGUGAGACAGUUCGGUCCCUAUCUGCCGUGGGCGCUGGAGAACUGAGGGGGGCUGCUCCUAGUACGAGAGGACCGGAGUGGACGCAUCACUGGUGUUCGGGUUGUCAUGCCAAUGGCACUGCCCGGUAGCUAAAUGCGGAAGAGAUAAGUGCUGAAAGCAUCUAAGCACGAAACUUGCCCCGAGAUGAGUUCUCCCUGACUCCUUGAGAGUCCUGAAGGAACGUUGAAGACGACGACGUUGAUAGGCCGGGUGUGUAAGCGCAGCGAUGCGUUGAGCUAACCGGUACUAAUGAACCGUGAGGCUUAACCUUACAACGCCGAAGGUGUUU